UUCCUUUUUUAGCAUAAACUUCAAAUAUCCCUUUAAUGAUUUUGCGCUUUCCCACUUUAUUACUCUGUGGUUAAAAUGUAUUACUUUAGUAUCAUGUAAUUUUGUUUUCUCUUUUCGUCAAUUUUUUCAUUAAUUUUUUCAGUGCUAAAGAUAAAACCAUAGAAUACUAAUAAUGCAAAUAUUGAUAAACCAUAGGUUUAUGGUAGUAAAGUAUUACACUUUAAAAUAUAGAGUACUACAGUGAAAAGGUGUGUUU
rnacentral:lncRNA from 1 species